rnacentral:rRNA from 1 species
AAUGAACGUUGGCGGCGUGGAUUAGGCAUGCAAGUCGAGCGAGAAUUUGCGAUUGGAAGCUUCGGCCGAAGAAAGUGAAGGAAAGCGGCAAACGGCGUAGUAAGGCGUAGGUACGUACCCUCGGGUCGGGAAUAGCCAUGGGAAACUGUGGGUAAUGCCCGAUAAUCUCUGCGGAGCAAAGGUGUGAUUCCGCCGGAGGAGCGGCUUACGUGAUAUUAGCUAGUUGGUGGGGUAAUGGCCUACCAAGGCAACGAUGUCUAGGGGGUGUGAGAGCAUGGCCCCCACGACCGGAACUGAGACACUGUCCGGACACCUACGGGUGGCUGCAGUCGAGAAUCUUCCGCAAUGGGCGAAAGCCUGACGGAGCGACGCCGCGUGGUGGAUGAAGGCCCUUGGGUUGUAAACACCUGUCAGAGGGGAUGAAAUCGUGGUUGGCAAUCCUUCCAUGUUGACAGAGCCUCAGAGGAAGCACGGGCUAAGUACGUGCCAGCAGCCGCGGU